GCGAGAGUGGUUCAAUGGUAGAACGAUUCCUUGCCAAGGAAUAGGUCGCGGGUUCGAUUCCCGUCUCUCGCU
rnacentral:tRNA from 1 species